UUUGGUAUUUAAAAGGUGGAUAUUCCUUCUAUGUUUAUGCUAUUUGUGAUUAAACAUAGAGGAAAUUUCACGUUUUCAGUGUCAAA
ensembl:miRNA